GGGCUGCUCCUAGUACGAGAGGACCGGAGUGGACGCAUCACUGGUGUUCGGGUUGUCAUGCCAAUGGCACUGCCCGGUAGCUAAAUGCGGAAGAGAUAAGUGCUGAAAGCAUCUAAGCACGAAACUUGCCCCGAGAUGAGUUCUCCCUGACUCCUUGAGAGUCCUGAAGGAACGUUGAAGACGACGACGUUGAUAGGCCGGGUGUGUAAGCGCAGCGAUGCGUUGAGCUAACCGGUACUAAUGAACCGUGAGGCUUAACCUUACAACGCCGAAGGUGUUU
rnacentral:rRNA from 1 species